AGCCAGAACACAGUGAUGUAUUGAUUUCCAAGCACAUAUCUGAAUUUUGUGUGGAGACCUCAGUUUCUGAGUGUUCUGGCU